rnacentral:rRNA from 1 species
GGUAGUCCACGCCGUAAACGAUGUCGACUUGGAGGUUGUGCCCUUGAGGCGUGGCUUCCGGAGCUAACGCGUUAAGUCGACCGCCUGGGGAGUACGGCCGCAAGGUUAAAACUCAAAUGAAUUGACGGGGGCCCGCACAAGCGGUGGAGCAUGUGGUUUAAUUCGAUGCAACGCGAAGAACCUUACCUACUCUUGACAUCCAGAGAACUUUCCAGAGAUGGAUUGGUGCCUUCGGGAACUCUGAGACAGGUGCUGCAUGGCUGUCGUCAGCUCGUGUUGUGAAAUGUUGGGUUAAGUCCCGCAACGAGCGCAACCCUUAUCCUUUGUUGCCAGCGGUUAGGCCGGGAACUCAAAGGAGACUGCCAGUGAUAAACUGGAGGAAGGUGGGGAUGACGUCAAGUCAUCAUGGCCCUUACGAGUAGGGCUACACACGUGCUACAAUGGCGCAUACAAAGAGAAGCGACCUCGCGAGAGCAAGCGGACCUCAUAAAGUGCGUCGUAGUCCGGAUUGGAGUCUGCAACUCGACUCCAUGAAGUCAGAAUCGCUAGUAAUCGUAGAUCAGAAUGCUACGGUGAAUACGUUCCCGGGCCUUGUACACACCGCCCGUCACACCAUGGGAGUGGGUUGCAAAAGAAGUAGGUAGCUUAACCUUCGGGAGGGCGCUUACCACUUUGUGAUUCAUGACUGGGGUGAAGUCGUAACAAGGUAACCGUAGGGGAACCUGC